AGCAGCCGCGGUAAUUCCAGCUCCAAUAGCGUAUAUUAAAGUUGUUGCAGUUAAAAAGCUCGUAGUUGAAUUUCGGGAUCAAUUAAUUGGUCGUGCCUAUGGUACGUACUGAUUUUAUUGGUUUCUCCCUUCUGACGAACCACGAUGUCAUUAAUUUGGUGUCGUGGAGAAUCAGGACUGUUACUUUGAAAAAAUUAGAGUGUUUAAAGCAGGCUAACGCUUGAAUACAUUAGCAUGGAAUAAUGAAAUAGGACGUUUGAUCCUAUUUUGUUGGUUUCUAGGAUCGACGUAAUGAUUAAUAGGGAUAGUUGGGGGCAUUAGUAUUCAAUUGUCAGAGGUGAAAUUCUUGGAUUAUUGAAGACUAACUACUGCGAAAGCAUUUGCCAAGGAUGUUUUCAUUAAUCAAGAACGAAAGUUAGGGGAUCGAAGACGAUCAGAUACCGUCGUAGUCUUAACCAUAAACUAUGCCGACUAGGGAUCGGAUGAUGUUAAUUUUUUAAUGACUCAUUCGGCGCCUUAC
rnacentral:rRNA from 1 species